rnacentral:rRNA from 1 species
GGGAACACACCCUUUUCUACGGAAUAGCUCUGGGAAACUGGAAUUAAUACCGUAUACGCCCUACGGGGGAAAGAUUUAUCGGGGAAGGAUUGGCCCGCGUUGGAUUAGCUAGUUGGUGGGGUAAAGGCCUACCAAGGCGACGAUCCAUAGCUGGUCUGAGAGGAUGAUCAGCCACAUUGGGACUGAGACACGGCCCAAACUCCUACGGGAGGCAGCAGUGGGGAAUAUUGGACAAUGGGCGCAAGCCUGAUCCAGCCAUGCCGCGUGAGUGAUGAAGGCCUUAGGGUUGUAAAGCUCUUUCACCGAUGAAGAUAAUGACGGUAGUCGGAGAAGAAGCCCCGGCUAACUUCGUGCCAGCAGCCGCGGUAAUACGAAGGGGGCUAGCGUUGUUCGGAAUUACUGGGCGUAAAGCGCACGUAGGCGGAUAUUUAAGUCAGGGGUGAAAUCCCAGAGCUCAACUCUGGAACUGCCUUUGAUACUGGGUAUCUUGAGUAUGGAAGAGGUAAGUGGAAUUGCGAGU